AAUGAACGUUGGCGGCAUGGAUUAGGCAUGCAAGUCGAGCGAGAAGUGUAGCAAUACACGGAAAGCGGCGGAAGGGAGAGUAAUACGUGGGAAUCUGCCCUUAGACCUGGGAUAGCAGCGGGAAACUGCUGGUAAUACCAGAUAAUGUCUAUGGACCAAAGGUGUGAUUCCGUCUAGGGAUGAGCCCACGUCCUAUUAGCUAGUUGGUAGGGUAACGGCCUACCAAGGCGAUGAUGGGUAGCGGGUGUGAGAGCAUGACCCGCCUCACUGGGACUGAGACACUGCCCAGACACCGACGGGUGGCUGCAGUCGAGAAUCUUCGGCAAUGGGCGCAAGCCUGACCGAGCGAUGCCGCGUGCGGGAUGAAGGCCUUCGGGUUGUAAACCGCUGUCGAGGGGGAGCAACUUCCAUAGAGUUAUCUUUAUGGAUUGAGUGAUCCCUGGAGGAAGGACGGGCUAAGUUCGUGCCAGCCGCCGCAGUAACAC
rnacentral:rRNA from 1 species